rnacentral:lncRNA from 1 species
UAUAGCUGCCAUAUUAUAAAUAAGCACUGCACAAAGUCUUACUCUGCCCACAGUGACUAGUUCUGGGUCUCUAUGCUGAUCACUAUCUACUGCAAGAAAGAGAAGUUCUUCUGAUGGGGAUUGAAAGAAGCACUAAACUGUGGGUUUAAGUCUUUAAGUGUUGGUCUACUACUAUGUCAAUUUAGCUUAACAAUUUCUUUACUGUUCUCAAGUUUUUGUUAUAUAUGUCUUUCAUUCCUUGGUUUUAAUUUUUUCAAGGUAGUUUGUAUUUUUGAAACUAUUAUGAAUUGGGUUGUUUCUUUUAUUUCUUCUUCAGUAGGUUUGUUGUUGGUAUACAGGAAGGAUAGUGGUUUUUAUUAUGUUAAUUUUAUAUCCAGCUAGGCCUAUGAUCUACCUAAGCUUGGAAUUGUGAUUCUUUUAAUGAUGUCAAGUAUGAGUUCUGUCUUGUGGGGUAGGACUUAAAUCCAAUCAGAAAGUGGUUUAUUUCUCCCAUAAUAUUUAUGCUACUCCUGCAUCAACAGGUAUAGCUUUCCUGGAGGGUGGUUAUUAUAGGUCACAGAGUUCAUAGCUAAGACUGAUCAUAAAUUUUCUCCCAUGGUACAUGCAUAGUAUCUGCCAGCACUAUGAAAGUUACCCAGUCAGGAUGAAACUUCCUGUCUGUGAUAGCACGAUUGCUCCACAUUCUAGGACACAGUAUGCAAUGCUUUCACAAUGGGAUCUUAUCAUCAAGUUUCCAUAUUCUCUCCACUACCCUGCCUUUCCUGUGCCAAACCCAUGUAACUCUUCUUAUUUCUCUAUUCCACACCCUUCCUUCCUGUAUUCUGUCUCUUCUCCUUUCAAAGACCCUCCCAUACCCUCUUACUGGUUUCCUGAUAUCUAUGGGUACUGUAAUUUAAACAGACAGAUAAAGGUUCAAAGCUACCAUCCACACAUGAAAGAGAACAUGUGAUGUUCAUCUUUCUGGGUCCAGGUUAUCAACAUCCCUUCGUGAUAAAAGUCCUGGAAAAUCUAGGGAAAUGGGGUAUAUACCUCGCAUAAUACAGUUAAAAUAUAUCAAUCUUACUGCCUACAUGACCCUACAUGGAGAAAAAGUCAAAGUGGUUUUAGGGUCAUCACUAUCCCAUUUUAAGUUAUACUAGAGAGAUAUAGUAAUAAAACAACAUGAAGCUGCCAUAAAAAGUGAUUCAUUGAACAAUGGAGUAGAAUUGAGUACCCAUGUGUCAGCCCACGUGCCUAAUUUUGGACAAAAAAGCCAUUAAUACAUGCUGGACAAAAGAUGGAAUCUUCAACAAAUGGUGCUGGUCCAAUUGGAUAGAUUCAUAUAGAUUCCCUGUUGCACUUCCUGAACAAAUGCCAGCCAAGUCCAAUGGAUCAAGCACUUCAACAUCAAGCCUGAUCUCCUAAAUCCUAUAGAAGAAAAAGGCAUGGAUAUGCUUGAACUCACAGACACUGGAAAUGAUUUUCUCAAUAGGACUCUGACAGUACAGGCAUUAUGACAAACAGUUGACAAAUUCAUGAAAUUAAAAUGCUGUAUAGCAAAGAACACCAUCAUUGGAACAAAGAGCCAGCUUUUGAAUGGGAAAAAUCUUUACUAGCUAUUCAUCUGAGACCUAUGGUCUAGAAUAUACAGACAACAACAACAACAACAAAUUCUUACCACCUAGAAAACAACAAUCCAAUUAAAAAUUGUUGCCUAUGGCUAAGUAAUGCCUUUUAAAUGUUCAGCAUCCUUAGCUUUCAGAAAAACACAAUGGCUAAGAUAAAC